CAGUGGGUCAGUUGCAGCAGGCUACCUGUGCACAAUUCUGCCGUUUGCAAGACUGUUGGAAAUCCUAUAAACUGACUACGCCACGGAUGAAACUCGAAAUGCUUUUUCAGGCAUGGAUCCUACAACAGUUGCAGUAUUGAAAGCUGCUAAUAUUAGCACAGAAUUGCUUCCCAGUCUGUCUAAGGUGGACUUGCGUGACCUCUUUCCGGGGCCUGAGCACUUUUUCCGAAGGAAAGCCAUUUGGAGGACCACUCAUGGUGAAAAUGAGUGUGAAGAACUGGAGCAGCCUCACCCAGGCACCUCCUCUGGAACUUAUGAUGGUGCCACAAUUCCAACUACCCCAAACGCUUUGUCCACUCCUUCUUCCUUCCCUGCACCUGUCCCCUCUUCAAAGCCAGGAGACAGUGCCAGCAGAACUGUACAGCUUCAAAGUCCACAAUAUGUUGUAUACACAGACACAGAGCUGGAGCUGUCAAGAACCACCUUUUUUGAAAAACAGCGUGCUGGACAAGAAGAAGACUUCACACUCUCCAAAGAGCUUCGCUGUCGCAUAAUAAGGAACACAGUAACAAGCAUGAUCGCCAUAAAGAGAGCUGCAGGCGAUGACUUCCGAUAUCCAAGUAGCCGUGAGCUAACUGCGAUGGCUCAGCGUCUGAUUGUAUACUACCCAAUGCUGCGGGACAGGUCUGCAGCCAGUGGAGCUGAGUGGGAAUCUGUGAAGAAGCAGCUUUUGAGAAGGGUCCAAAAUGUGACAACCCCCAAAAAGAAGCAGGGAGCAACUCCUUCAAGAAAGAGGCGACUGGCCAUCAGCUUUGAGAGCAGCAGCCAUGGGUCACCCACUGAUGACAGCGGGUCCAAUGCUUCAACUUUGAGCUUGGAAACAUCACCGCAGUCUGGAGGCACUUCCCUGGAGGCUGAACAGGUGGAUGGGCCUGAAACUACUGACAGCCCACAGAACCAGGCCAGACACUACAAAGUUCUGCAGGAGCUAUACAAAUCCAAGCCCAGGCCCAACAAGAAGGAUGUUGCCCAGCUGUUGGACCUGGAAUACCAAGCAAGACGGGCUUACAUCGACUCUGAUGUUCUGAAGGAGCACGACAGACCUACCAAGAUUCUUCAAGCAUAUCCCUGCUUCAGAGAAGUGGAUCAUAUAAUGGAUGAACUGCAGCGGAUCCUCAAUCAAGGAAACCCCCACUUCAUACCUGAACUGAAGAACCGCUGGAAGACCUUUUGUGAGAAGAUCCAGUUUUAUGGCGUUUUCAAAAAAGUCAUGAGACCUCCACUGGCUGAUAAAGUAAAGCGAGGGGUUGCGAUGAUGAAAGCUUUGCCAGACGUCUUCCCAUCACCCAUUGCUCCACCCAAGAAGUUGGGGCAUGCAAGUGAGGCCAUUCUUCACAUCUUGAGUCUGUGGAAGACCCCAACGCUUUCCUGAACGCAAGACCGCUCUCCAGCCCUGUAGUGAUCGUCUGUGAGAGCAACUGCAUUCUGGCCAUCGGAACCAUGCCUGUGCUGAUCUUCCCAAAGGAGGACAUCUCAGUGUGAUGUACAUCAUGGCAUGCUGCUACACCUUUCACCUCACAUACCCCAAGUGCAUAACCACACUCCUCUCUGUGCUGCAGACAGAGGUCCUCAUGGAUGCCAUCCAUGACCAAGACAUGACUUCUUCAUAUAAAAAAGCUAUGGCUGAGUGGAGGAAGUUCAGAGGACUUUUUGCAGUGUAGGAGAAGUAAAGAAGGGGAAGUUCAUACGUCAGGUGGCAGAUGAAGAUGGACAGAAUGACUUUCAGCCCAUCAGGUCAUCCAUGAACAAAUGGAGACAGAUCUUACAUUAUAUGAGAUGGAACAUUUUAAAUUUUACUUCAACAUAAUUGAUGGCACAAUUU